rnacentral:rRNA from 1 species
ACUUUCAACAACGGAUCUCUUGGUUCUGGCAUCGAUGAAGAACGCAGCGAAAUGCGAUAAGUAAUGUGAAUUGCAGAAUUCAGUGAAUCAUCGAAUCUUUGAACGCACAUUGCGCCCCUUGGCAUUCC